rnacentral:tRNA from 1 species
GGCGGGGUAGCUCAGCCUGGUUAGAGCGUCAGACUCAUAAUCUGAAGGUCGAGGGUUCGAAUCACUCCCCCGCCA